AAGGAGGAGGCAGAUUGGUUAUGCGGCCGUCUUGAAAUCGGCAGGUGGAGGUUCAAAUCCUUCCUUUCUUG
rnacentral:tRNA from 1 species